rnacentral:lncRNA from 1 species
GGACAGAUCACCUGUUCUCUCCGAUUCCUGACACCUGCACCCUCCACCCGGUGGCACCUGGCUUGACAGAGGUUUGCAUUCCUUCUGGCUCUUCUGUGUAAUUAUCCUCCGACCGGUUCUCCAUCCCCUGUGAACUUGGUAGAAUUCGGUCCUCUGUUCACCUGUGUUCCGUCUCUCCAGACCAGGAAGUCUGCUGGGGCAUCUCUCCCGGGGUUUUCUGACUUGCAGUCACAUCUUGUAAGACAGCGGUCUUUGCUGAGGGUGGCACUCUCUUCUGCCCGUACCGUGGGCAUUUCCAACCCCAAGGCCACCGGGGCACUCUCUGCCUUGAGGAUGGGGAGGGUGGGCAGCUAGGGGGACAGGAUGGUGAGCAUUCUUAGAUGUGUGGCUGGUCCCACACGACAGAGGAGGAUGCUGGCAAUACUCCCGUCGAGAAAUAAGGUGGACCAAGGACAUGAGAGGACUGUGCCCAAGUUCCUAGUCAGUGCAGCCCAACAGGUUCCAAGGACCAAGGAAACCCUAAGCCUGGGGUAGGGGCCACGCUGGCCCCCUGGGGCCUCCCUUCUGUGCUCCAGGGCCGCCUCUGGCUGUGCCACCCUGUUACGCUCUCCUGUGGUAUUUCUCGUGACACUCAUGAGCCUGCAGGGGCCCUGGCCACAGUCCCCUCGCCUCACACUGGCCACAGCCUCCAGAGUCAGGGCUCAGAGCCUCGGCAGUCACUCCGUGGUGCUUGGCACAGAACGGGUGCUUAAUGAAUAUUUAUUGAAUGAUUUCCAGCUAAUGGAAGAAAGCUAAACAGUACAACACCCAGAGGAUUGAAGUUUAUUGAAAAUCGACCCGAAGGACUGUGGCGAAGAGAAUCUCAAAAGGCAGGGGGUGAGGGAUCGGUAUUUAUUAAGGGCCUUAAAAGUGAGUGCUGCAAUAGAAAGCGCGGUGUCAUAGGACAGGCACGGCCUGGGGCCGAAUCCAGACUCUGCCAGCUGUAGCUGUGUGGCCUUGGGCAAGUGCGUCAACCUCUCUGUGCCUCAUCGCGUUCUCUUUGAAGCAGGAAUGAAGGUGGUACUUAGCUCACAGCUCACGGGGAGAUUGGAGAAGGUAAUGUGCUAGUUCCAGAAAGCACUUGGACAGGGCCUUGCAGGUAUCGAGCGCCGCGUAGGUGUUGUUGGUUUUGUUGCCGAAAUUUGGCCUGCGUCUGCAGGUGCCGAAUUGAAAUGCAGAGACAGAGUCUUGGGUAGUGGAGAACAAGAUAGCUGUAUUGCUUUGCCCGGCAAAGGGGGCCACAGCAGGCUAAUGCCUUAAAGACUGUGCCCGCCUUGGAAGGGGUUGGGAUGUGGUUUUGUAGUUUGGGGAGUGGAAUAAGCAUCAGGGCAGGGCAAGCGCUCAUUGUCUUUCAAAGCUGGUGUCCAGUGGCCCCAGGACUGGUUCUGGGGGUCCUCCUUCUGGAAUGCAGAAGGCUUCAUCAAGCGGUUCUUCCAUCUGUUGGGGCUUUAGUUCUGCGGAAAGGCUCAAAGAUACUGUUAUAUAUAUUCCUUGAGGAGGAGCCAGGACCUGCCCCAAGGGACUGUUGUCCCUUGACCGCUCCUCCCUGGUCUCUGCCUCCCCCGCUUCCCUGAUUGGCACCCGCGUUUUGGAGUUCCGGGAAGGUUCUGGAGGCUGCAGCUUAUUCCCUAAAAGCAAGCCCUGGAGGACACAGAAAGGCUUGUGUGCCGGGAGCCCCAUGGGGCCCUGCUCGGUUGCAGUGUUGGUCAUUUGGUCAUCCCUCUUUGAUGGCUGGGGACACCGAAGGUCGCAUAGCAGAGGCCACAUGGCAGGGGCAGGGAGCCCGGCCGGCGCCCCCACUCUGCUCCUCGCCCCUUGCCACCGCCCUCUACCCACCCCCGUCUCUCCUUCCCACCUCCCUCGUUCAGGGCACCGAGCGGAGGCGAAGAGCAUGAGAAGACACACAUGAAGACCCGGGAGUGAGGUCUGGGCCCUUGGGACCUGGUGGAGCAGCAGGGGUGUCUGAGAUGGAAUCUGAUGUGUCGCCACCUGAGGAUGCAGCCACUCUGGUGGGUGGGGUGGGGGUGGAGCCCCAGUGACAGAAGCCGAGGAAGAGCUGGCCUGAGGGUUUCCUGAUGGCCAGGAGCCCUGGACUGGGCGCCCUGGACAAGGAGCAGGGGUUGACUGUCUCCAGGGGGGAAGCCACUGGGAAGGACAGAGAAGCUGAACGGGGUGGCGGGAGGGAGCCAGGGGGCGUCCCGUGCUCUCUGGGCACAUUUGUCUGAGCGCCCCGAGUCCAGAGAGGAGAGCUGUGUGCCCUGGGGCCAUGAGAACACAUCCCCAGAGCAGCUGGCCUCCCCCCCACGAUGCUCUAGGCAGGAGACAGGGACCAGAGUGGGGUCCUGGAGACCUGGUGCCCCCAGCGCUCCCCCUUUCCCGCCCCCCCCCCCCCCAGCUCUGGGCUUUGGGAGGAACGCCUGCAGCACAGCUUCCCUCCCAAGUCAGCCCAGGGUGGGCAUGGGUCUGGGAGGCGGCUCCGGAGGUGUGGGUCCUGCCCAGACUGAUGCAUCAGGGAAGGCUCCCCUGAGGAGGGGGCCUUAGCUGGAGGGUUGGGGGGACCUGGACUUUAGCCAGGAGGAAAAAUUAAGAACCCAUGGAGUUCCCGUCAUGGUGCAGCGGAAACGAAUCUAAGAACCAUGAGGUUGAGGGUUCAAUCCCUGGCCUCGCUCAGUGGGUUAAGGAUCCCACAGCCACAGCCACAUCAGAUCUGAGCCAUCCCUACAACCUACACCAUAGCUCAUAGCAACGCGGGAUCCUUAACCCACUGAUCGAGGCCAGGGAUCAAACCCGCAUCCUUGUGGAUACUAGUUGGGUUUGUUACUGCUGAGGCACAGCAGGAACUCCUGAUUUUUGUUUUUUCACUGCUCUGAAUUCCUAGCACAGUGGAUAAAAAAACCAGUAUUCCUCAGACCUGCACUCAUGACCAUCCUCCUUGUCUCCAGCGCAGGUGAAAGGAGUUUUGAACUUAAUUCUUUUUUUUUUCCUACGUGUGGUAAAAUUUAUGUACCAUAAACGUUACCUCUUUCACCAUUUUUAAGGGUGCAGUUCAGUGGCAUUAAGUGCAUUCACGUUGUUGUGCAGUAAUCGUAAUUCUCCAUCUCCGAGUGAACUUGAUCCUUGCGUCCCCUAGUCCUGUAUUUCAUAUCUCCAGAUGCUUUUCAACUCAGCUUAUCAGUGGUGGUGGAAAGGGGCCAUUUGGGACUUCUUUUUUUAACCCCUGGCAGCUGUGUUAACCCUCACCCAGGGACCCAGCCUCUCAGCGCCUCCGUUUGCAUCUGUGAAAUGGGCACAGUGCUCCCCACCCUGUGAAAGCCCGGGGAGGGGGGUGGGGGUGGGGCAUCUCUGGAGUUUGCUCGUCUCUGCAAGUUUCUGGUGAGGCUUGAAAUGGUACCACCCUACCCACCUUCCCUGCUCACUUGUCUGCAUUUUCAAACCUGGUUCUAUUCGUUACGCAAAGUCUAAUAGAUGCGGUGCCAAGGAGAAUGACGGCUCGUGUCCGCACUGUGUGGUCGCCCACUGUCACGCAGUAACUCCUCAGGUAUCGACCGGUCCAUGUGGGCAACACCCCGGCUUGGUAUCUGCUGGGCUCUCUCCGUACAGUUUAGGAAACUCUAAUCCAUAAAAGCCCGUUUGAAAUUUCCAUUAGGAGAUUUGCACAAGUGGUUAAAAUUAGUCAUGCAUUCUUGGCCUAAACUGCAGGAAGGGUAUCUUUACUGUGAAAAUGAUUAUGACAUGUUAAAACUGUGUAAUAGUAAGCAGACAGUUUUCCGAGCUGCUGGCUGGGCUCUGGAAAUGCUCUAUUUAUUUUCUCCCUCUUGACUCCUCUUUCAGGCAAGGCUGCCAGUGCGCUGACUUGGAGAACAACUGAGACCCCGGCCGUUUCAAAGCCUGGCCAUCACGUGGCUUCCUCUGUGGGCCAGGCCACCUCUUUGCUUUGCUUUUCCUUUUGUGUGAGAAGGGGCCUUAGAAGACAGCCGCAUUUCCAGUUCAUUCACCUUCUCCCUCCCUCAUUUACCGUUUAGGGAAGGACGACAUUGUUCUAAGGUCGGGGCGACAGCAGUGACUCCUGCGUGCCCAAGAUCAGCCGCCUGGCUUAUUUGAUUACGACUCCUUUGCAGUGCAGCCGUGUUGUUCGUAUUAGAGAAAGGGCUGUGAUUUUCUUUGCCAGUAAAAAGGCAGCCACUUAGAUUUUCCAAAGCCAUUUGCAUUCAGUCUGACGGUGGCUAAAAAUGUAUGUGGAUUUUUCAUCUGAGAGGCUUUCCCUGCGUGUUGUUUACAUUUAUCAAACGUUGUCCUGCCCACCAGUACCUGAUAUUCAUUGUAGCUUCCAGACCUCCCUGACAACAUGGCCCGCGUGAAACCCAAAACAAAACAAAGCAGAAAGAGUCAAGAGGUCUUCUUUUGGGAGAAUAGGGAAACAAGGACAGGCAGGUGUGGCUGUAAAAAUGAGCAGCCUGCCAAGUGGAGGCUCUGCCUUUGUUCUGUCAUCAGUGUGUCGGUUGUCAAUCAAGCCCCCCUCCUCCUUACAAGCCCUCCAAGCUCCUGUGAGCACCCCGCCCUUGGCCCGCCUCUUAGCGUGCAGUGGUGCAGCCUGGAAAAUCGUGAAAUACUUAAAAUAACAGGAAAGACUGGAAAAAGCUGAUGUUUGGGAUUAUCCGAACAAAACAGUGUAAUACUUACUUGCCUUUUUACUUCCUCUGGCUCUUUGUGUUUGAUGAGUCUGUGGAAUGCCACACAGACCAUCCGACUGGGCUGCUUUCCUGCAUACAUAUUACAAAUAAGCAAACCAAACCUCUAUUCCUGCAAUUCUGAUACUUGGCCACCAGGUGGUGGAAGUGUAUCUUGAUUAAGGAAUCGGAUCUGCUAGGUGUAGGCAUUCAUCUGUGUUUUCACUGAGUCACCUUUAUGGAGUGUAGAGCCUGGUGUUGAUGCUGUGGAUAUAGAAAUGAGUUAGACUGAGGAGGCCAUUCUAAAUUAAAUAACCAUAGAGUUCCCUGGUGGCCUAGCAGCUUAAGGAUCGAGUGUUGUCACUGCUGUGGUGCGGGUUAGAUCCCUGGCCUGGGAACUUCUGCAUGCGACAGGCGUGCCCCCCCCGCCCCAGUUUUAAAAAACCCCUUAAGUAAUUUAGGAUUUCGUUGGUUAGUGUGUUUAUCUAGUCUUAGAAAAGGAAGUUAGUAGUCAUUUCGUACUAAGGAAGGGAAAGGAAGCGGGUCCUGGGAUGGCGCUGUGUGUGUAUGGUCUUCCCUUAAUAUUCCUGGUGACCCUGGCAGGCAGGUCUUCUUAUCCUUGUUGUGAAGAGUGGAGUUCAGGAGGAUGGGGCAAGUUGCCCACAGCGCGGGGGCGGGUAAGCCAGGCUUCCCACCAGGGUGGUGUGCCUGCGGGAGGCCAGGCGCAGAGUAGGACAGUCUCCAGCCCGAGGUCUCUGGGCUUUCCAGAUCACAGUUGUCAUCGCAGAGACGCAGCAGGAAUGAUCAAGGGCGGACGUGGUUGACCUGCCGGAGCUACUGUGGGGGCAGCUGGGGCGCCUCUUGCGGGGGAGCCUUCCCUUCCCGAGGAAGGUGUCCUCUGGGACGUGCCAUUGCGGCGUGUGAGCACACGCACCUGCGGACCAGGGGCUGCCGUGCUGGGGGAUGCUGGCCAGUCUGCAUCCGGGAAGGGAGGAGAGCCCCUUCCCCGGGAAAGUGAAGCCUCCAACCGAGAAUGCGGCUGCCCACCCACCCUCCCCGCCUUGGAUGCACAUCAAGAGGGGUUUCUAUUCAAUGGCAAGAAGCAGACAAGCAGCAAGGGCACAAACAUUCUACAAGGAAGGAUCCUGUGCAGUUUACAGAUGACGCUCACGUGCGUGUCGCCUCUCACAUCAGCCAUGUGCGCGGCGCAGGUGUUAUUUUUACAGUUGGAGCCGUUUCGUCGGUGAGGAAACCAAGGCUCAGGAAUUUCGAUAUCUGGCCCCGAGUUUCAUGGCCAGUGAGCCUCAACUCCCAUACCUGGUCUUGCCAGAUAAAAUAUAAGACAGCCCGUUACAUUUGAAUUUCACAUAAACAGCAGAUAACUUCUCAGUGUAGGGAGUGGCCCGGGCAAUGUUUGGGACAUACGUACACUUUAGAAAUAUCACAUGGGAUAUACCCCUACUAUGAAAUAAUCUGUCGUUUAUCUGAAAUUAGAGUUGAACUGGGCACCCUGUAGUUUUGUUGGCUCAGUCAGGCACCCACUGAAGGCACCUUUUUGUUUCUGCCCUACUCUGCCACGUGGUCUGGGUAUCAUGCUAUGAUUCAGUAACUACUCUAGGAAAUCAUAAUUAUUUUCAAAGUUUCUCCUUAUCGAACCCUUAUCAUCUGCUGUAAAGCUACCAAAGCACGUACCUGCAUUACAUCUCCUUCCAGCCGCCUUGAAAGUUGAUGCCCCUUCCCAGAAAAUACUAGGGUUCAGAGAGGAUGAGCCGCUGGCUCACCACCUCUUAAUUAAUAACAGUGAAAAUUGGGAUAAGAACUAGGUGCUGUGCCUUCAAGGACAUGUGUUAUGGAUGUCUACAUUCC